GGCAAAAAUAUGCUUAUUGAAAGAGAAGUAGACUAUGAAAUCAUCUGCAGAAACAGACAAGGUCACAAUAGAAGUGUGAAAGUAAAAUAUUAAUCAACUGGAAUGGAAUGGAAAUCCCAAGGUAACACAAGAAACAAGGACACAAAAGAUGCUGAACGUUCAUAUCAUAGAGGACUUCAUGAUUAGUAAAAUUAGUACUUUCUACUGUUACCACCAUUAUAAAAUAGUUCUCUACAGAUGGUUCCUUAAAAAUCCUGCAGUAAUCAGACAGACUACAGGCUAAAGUAGAGAAUUCGAGCAACCUGGCAUCGAAGAUAAUAUUGGAAACACGAUUCACAUUUUAAAACUUGCCGUUUCUUCUGCUUAGACUGUAUUAUUAUUGUGUUUUUCAUGUGUUCGCACAUUUUCAAAUGAGUUGGGUUGACAGAGAAUAUUCUUUGUAAAGGUGAACACGUAGGUGACUUUUGGCCUAAUUUGUCUUGUUCCUCUGUAAAAAUGUAGAAGUCUCCACAGUUUUUCUUUUCUCUUCACUCUCAUUUAAGAUUUAAUAUAAUCCAAAACCUUUGACAGCCAAAUACCCAUAGUUUCAAGUAACAAAGUGUUUGGUGACAAAAUUGCUGCAAGAUGUUCUGUGACAUUAUUCUAUAAUGAGUUAUUGCUCUUCUGACUGCAAGAUCUAUAUGCUUGUACUCUUAGUUACCACUGCCAUAUCAAUG
rnacentral:lncRNA from 1 species